rnacentral:lncRNA from 1 species
UAUAGAAUGUAUAUCGCGCCGAUCUAAAUUUUAGCGUUUAUGCUGGAUCAGCAUGCGCGCAUUUUUUUCAGCGACUGACCGCUGGAGCCAGCGCUCUACGGCCCGUAAAAAUUGUAUUUUAGCCCGCCGUCCGGUUGCACGUGUUGAAGAUGCUCUAAGGUAAGUUUUCUCCAACUACAAUUAUUUAGGAAUGGAGGGAGUAGCAUAUUACUCAAAAUCAAAAAGAUAUACAAUCAGCACGGCAUCUUCAGGGCCGCAUCAUGAUCGGAUUCAAGGAGAAUUUCAUCAGAAGAUUAAAGCGAUGGGAGCGAGCAAGUUUCAUCGGGAGAAACUGGGACCGAAUCGGAUUCAGAGAAAUGAAAUCUGACGCGUGCUCCAUCUGUGCAUGUCCAUCGUUUAUAAAUACCAAAGUACAAAACACCUUCGCAUCCCACGACACCUUCCGAUCCAGCCGCCACCCUCUCCCAAAUCCCCAGUCGCCAGCCCUCGAUCCCAUCCCUAGCUAGAAGCAGCACGCCGGCCGGGAUGGAAGGGCUCGACGUCGACGACGUCUUCCAGCACUGCCGGCUGAACCCUACGGAAGUGGAUGCCGUCACGUACUACC